CAGAAUAUAAUUUAAUUAAAAUUUUAGUUUUGGAGACUAACUAUAACUGUAAAAGUUUAUUCUGA
rnacentral:tRNA from 1 species